GAUGAACGCUGGCGGCGUGCCUAAUACAUGCAGGUCGAGCGAACAGACGAGGAGCUUGCUCCUCUGACGUUAGCGGCGGACGGGUGAGUAACACGUGGAUAACCUACCUAUAAGACUGGGAUAACUUCGGGAAACCGGAGCUAAUACCGGAUAAUAUAUUGAACCGCAUGGUUCAAUAGUGAAAGACGGUUUUGCUGUCACUUAUAGAUGGAUCCGCGCCGCAUUAGCUAGUUGGUAAGGUAACGGCUUACCAAGGCAACGAUGCGUAGCCGACCUGAGAGGGUGAUCGGCCACACUGGAAGUGAGACACGGUCCAGACUCCUACGGGAGGCAGCAGUAGGGAAUCUUCCGCAAUGGGCGAAAGCCUGACGGAGCAACGCCGCGUGAGUGAUGAAGGUCUUCGGAUCGUAAAACUCUGUUAUUAGGGAAGAACAAAUGUGUAAGUAACUAUGCACGUCUUGACGGUACCUAAUCAGAAAGCCACGGCUAACUACGUG
rnacentral:rRNA from 1 species